UGGUUAGUCAUCUGUUUAAUUCUCUUGCUGCAGCAUGUCAUUUGGAUGUUGAAGGAAAAUCCCUUGAUUCACUCUGCCAUUUCUGACAGUCUCCCUCUAGACCACAUUAAUAAGCUUUUUAGAGAAGUGAAUGCAGAAUAAUCAGCAGGCAGCCUGAACUCAAAAUGGAGACAGAACAGACAGCAGAAAUGCCUUCUUCCCUUUGUAGUUAUGGUGCAUAGGUGACCCUUUUCUCACAGAACAGCAAAUAAUUUAAACUAAGAUUACCUUUGAAAGCCACAGCGUAAUUAACCAUUUUAUGCAUGUGAUGGCUGCCUAGCUUCAAAACCUGAUGCUUUGUAAAGGAAAAGAUUCAGCUGCAUUUGAGUUAGAUUUAUGAAACAUGCUAACAAUAGAGCAGACAGAUAGAAAGGCUGCUUGGCAUCCUGGAAUACCUGGGGAAUUUCACUCAGAAAACAAACAUGUUACUCUUUAAUGUAGGCUCACAUCUCAUUAUAAUAUCACAAGUCGAAUGAGACACACUUCGCCUUUGUAACUGUGUUGCCAGGAGGCAGAGGGACAAAGAGAAUAGGACACAACAGUGAAGACCCUGACAGGAUCAUGCUUAAGCGGGAUGGUUAGCUGCUGUCCAGCCAGUGACAGUCACAAUCUCCAGAGCAACAGUGACUCCAGCUGGAUUGAUUGAAAGUCCCUGAAGCACUUUUCAUUGGAUCCUUACACCCAAAUGGCUCACGGUUCUAUAUGAUCAGUUCUACAUCUGCAAGAACGCUACCCACUGAAUAUUUACAAGUGUGGUUUCCAUGUACAAUUUCAUCAGUUCUAAGGCUGGAAAUGUCUGGAGGAGUUUCUUUAAUGAUCAAGGUCUCCACUCAGGAUAUUAAUACAUUUAAACGUGCAGAUAGGCACUAUCUAAUAGUGUCUAUGGACUAGGUACAACAUACCCUGUCUAUCCCUUCUGAAGAGCCCAUGUGUAUGACAGUUGUGAGAUUCAUCCCACCAUGUUUCCUGAUAGCAACCAGAUCAAAAUUUUCCAAGCACAUCAUGGUUUUCAACUCCUCCUGCUUAUCUUCCAUGCUGUGUAUUAGUGUAAAGGCUUUGAUCUAGGACUUAAACUGAUCUUUUUACCUAGACAGCUUGCAAAAAUAUUACUUUGUUUAUCUUCCUACAUGAUAUCUUCUAUGCUCUUUUGUACUAGUAGAUGAAUAAAGUUGGUAUAUAUGCUGAAGUCCUAAUACUCUGCUUUAGGUAUGGUAAAACAAAAUCAGACAUCAUUUGCUAUCCCAAUUCUGAGGACCACUCUGAAAAUAAUUCCUCCUAUUUUAUUAUGUUGGCCCACAACUUCAGAAACAGAUAUUGGUGCCUUGCAGUCAGAUCUUCCCACCAGUACCCCAUCUUGUUUCCAUGCAACAGAUGACAGCAGAGGAGCAGUCUGACAAAAUGGCAUCUGACAUGGAAGUGUAUAUGAAGCAAAGGUGUGUCAUUAAAUUCCUGCAUGAGGAAAAAAUGGCACUCACUGACAUUCACUGAUAGUUUACUGAACAUUUUUCAAGACCAUACAGUGGAUGUGAGGAUGGUGAAGUGGUGAGUGGUACAAUUCAGCAAUGAUGCCAUCAUAGCAGCUGUGAAGCAGUGGGUCACCUCCACUGGUGCAGAUUUUUACAACCACAUCAUGCAGACUCUUGCUUUCCACUGUCUAAAAUAAGACAGUGGAAAGCAAGUGGUGACUAUGUUGCAAAUGAGUGCUUUGAAUACAAGUGUUUUGUAGCUGAGAUUUCCUCUAUCAAAUAGCAUUAUUGUGCCCUUUGUUGCAGUUUCUAUGGAAAUUAAUAGGAAGCAUUACUUUCAGAGCUACCUACGUACAACCAUUUCAGAUGUAAUUCUUUUGAAUUGCAAGUCUACCUGUUCAAGACUACCCUAUCGCUCAAGUAAAAAAAAAAAAAAAAAAAGAAAUACCUGAGCAAAACAAAUUGGAUUUGGUCUGUGGUUUCUGAAGCAUCACAUGGAGGGAAAUUUUCUUGUACUUACUUUUAUUUAUUUAGUUAUUUUAAAUUAAUGACUUAACAUCUAUGAGUCUUGAUCAGAACUCUUCAGCCUCCAGCUGAAUGAAAUUGUUGUUCCUUGCUUAGAAUAACCUGUUGCUUAAGACAAAGCACAAGCUGGCCUCCUUCUUAUUGUAAUUAACUUCAUUUUAUAUUAAUCAAGCAUGGCUGUUUCUUCUGAUAGUAUAUAAUAAAGGGAUAUAGUCAGUUUUUUAAUUGUAUUGCUGUUUUGCUUUGAUAUAUUUCAAAUACAAAUAACACAAAACAUACUUAUAAAUUAAUGUUAUUUGGUAAUAUUGGAACCAUUUCCAAGUAUAGAAACAUAAGUAAUGAAAUUACCUUAAUUCUAAUGCAGACCAAUAAAACAGAAAGUAAUCUUAUUAUGAAUUACAUACAGUGUUUUAGGAUGAGCAAAGAUUACUAUUUUGGAAGAUUGUAUUAUAUUUUUUGAGCUAACCUCUGCAUUUUCUCAGCAAGAACUUAUUUGGUGUAAAAGACACAGUUUAAAAAUAGUGUGUUAUGAAACAGUCAUUUUUUCUUGCCCUUGCACAUCUCUAAUUGACUAACUACUUUAACCUCACCUUCUAAAUGUGGGAAGGCUACUGAGAAAAUGAAAAUGAUUUUCCCAAAAUCUAAAUUGAGAGGAAGAUGACU
ensembl:lncRNA